UUGUUAUCCCUUUACUGUUUGGGUUUUCGGUUCUACCUUUUUCUAUUGUGCUUUCCUAACUGGCAUUGGCUCUAUGGUUGCAUGUGUAUUACUCUUUCAUAAACAAUAGUUACUUUUUUUCAAGCAAUAUAAACUUUGCGAAUCUAUACUUCAUAUUAAGUAGUAAAAGGGUGUACUUGUGAGGAAAGUUGUAAGAGCACCAAGUGGCUUUGCCAGAUUGGAUAUAAGAUUAAAUCCUUAAGUUGGUUUUCAAAACAGAUUUGCAUAAUCUAUAUUACUUGAUUAUUGGCCAACGGAGGAUUUUUUUGGGAUUGUUAAUUUCCCUAAAAUGUAAGUCUUAUCUCCUGCUAAUAAGUUCGUUUUCACACCUCUCCUAAAAUGUAAGUUUUAAUUUUGAAAUUCUUUUCGUAUAUACAUCUAUCAAUUAUUGCCAUAGUCAAACAGAGAUUUUUCCUCUUCUAAUUUAACGUUCAAAUUUUAUCGUGUUUCUACCAUCUCUUUAAUUAGAUUUAUCGCGUGCAUGUACAAAUCUUUUGUUGUUCUUAGAACUCUAACAACAUUUUGCGACAAUGCAAGCAAAAUUUAACAUGUGAAUGGAAAACUGAGAGGAUCGAAGAAUUGGAUUGUAGAGAACAUCAAAUUAUCAACACCUUGCCGAUGUGAUCCCUAAAUGCAAAACCAAGAAAGUGUGCCCAUUGAAACCACCGUCAUCACUAGCAACAAUGAUUCUAUAAGUGGCAAUGGGUGGGUUGUGUGGUUGCUAGCUGUUGCUUCAUAUCUGGGAUUGGUUGGUUGUGGUGUUGGUUUGUGGCUCUGUUUCUCUUUUCAACUCCUCAGUCCGGAGGGCUAAGAGAUUUGUGGGGCUCUCUAUUGAAGCUGUUAUUGAUGGAGCUAAUUUACGGAUAUGCUUGAAGCUGCACUUAAUUAGUGAUUGAAGGCUGAAGGUUGGCAAUUCCUUGCAUCUGAAAGUCUGUGUCUCCUUGUCUCAUUGCUUACCAACUCCAGUCAAAUUAAUCUGUUUGAGGGCUAAGUGAUCAUAAUUAAUCUUUUGGAGGCAAAUUAAUCAUUGUAUCAUCUCUUUUCAACUCCUGUCAAAUUAAACUUUUGGAGGGCUAAGGGAGCAAAAUUAGCAGUACUGGUCUGAAGAGCUUACCCAAUGGAAGUGGAGAUCCAUACGCUGAAGUACUCAUUAUUGGUGGGGAUACUCAUAGGUGAUUCAUCAUGCUUUGAAACUGAACUUAGUAAAGGCUGAUGCUUGUGUUACGUACCUUACGUACGUACCUUGUCUCAUCUACUCCCAAUCCCAAUCAAUAUCAGCAGUGGAAUGAAGAUAUCAGUGGCUUACUAAAAGGAUAUGGUGAUCUAUAAAGCUGCCAUACCUCUCCAUGCUUUUUUUGGAUAUCAUUGGAUUCUAUUUACUGUGUUGUGGCUGAUUUUCAGAACAAGUUUCCUAUUUUUGUAAUGUUUCGUAAUUUGUUUUUUUUUUUUUUGGUGUAUGGUGCACAUAUUGUUUGUUGGCAUGCAGUGACCGAGUCCUCAAGUCGCACAUAGACUAAUAAGGCUGGAUUUCAUAUACUCCGCUAUACAAUUAAUAAUCCUUGUUCGAUGGUAGACA